GCAUCCUUAGCUCAGUUGGUUAGAGCAUCAGUUUUACAUACUGAGGGUCACUAGUUCAAGUCUAGUAGGAUGUACCA
rnacentral:tRNA from 6 species